rnacentral:rRNA from 1 species
UGAGGAAUAUUGUACAAUGGGCGCAAGCCUGAUCCAGCCAUGCCGCGUGCAGGAAGAAGCAUCUAUGGUGUGUAAACUGCUUUUGUACGGGAGGAAACACUCCUACGUUUAGGAGCUUGACGGUACCUUAAGAAUAAGGAUCGGCUAACUCCGUGCCAGCAGCCGCGUUAAUACGGAGGAUCCAAGCGUUACCCGGAAUCAUUGGGUUUAAAGGGUCCGUCGGCGGUUUAGUAAGUCAGUGGUGAAAGCCCAUCGCUCAACGAUGGAACGGCCAUUGAUACUGCUAGACUUGAAUUAUUAGGAAGUAACUAGAAUAUGUAGUGUAGCGGUGAAAUGCUUAGAUAUUACAUGGAAUACCAAUUGCGAAGGAAGGUUACUACUAAUGGAUUGACGCUGAUGGACGAAAGCGUGGGGAGCGAACA